rnacentral:rRNA from 1 species
CCUACGGGAGGCAGCAGUGAGGAAUAUUGGUCAAUGGACGAGAGUCUGAACCAGCCAAGUAGCGUGAAGGAUGACUGCCCUAUGGGUUGUAAACUUCUUUUAUAUGGGAAUAAAACGUUCCACGUGUGGGAUUUUGUAUGUACCAUAUGAAUAAGGAUCGGCUAACUCCGUGCCAGCAGCCGCGGUAAUACGGAGGAUCCGAGCGUUAUCCGGAUUUAUUGGGUUUAAAGGGAGCGUAGGUGGAUUGUUAAGUCAGUUGUGAAAGUUUGCGGCUCAACCGUAAAAUUGCAGUUGAAACUGGCAGUCUUGAGUACAGGAGAGGUGGGCGGAAUUCGUGGUGUAGCGGUGAAAUGCUUAGAUAUCGCGAAGAACUCCGAUUGCGAAGGCAGUUCACUGGACUGCAACUGACACUGAGGCUCGAAAGUGUGGGUAUCAAACAGGAUUAGAUACCCCAGUAGUC